CCUACGGGAGGCAGCAGUGAGGAAUAUUGGUCAAUGGGCGGAAGCCUGAACCAGCCAAGUCGCGUGAGGGAAUAAGGUCCUACGGGUCGUAAACCUCUUUUGCCGGGGAGCAAGGGCGGGGACGUGUCCCGGCCCGGAGAGUACCCGGAGAAAAAGCUUCGGCAAACUCCGUGCCAGAAGCCGCGGUAAUACGGGGGAUGCGAGCGUUAUCCGGAUUUUUUGGGUUUAAAGGGUGCGUAGGCGGGCUUUUAAGUCAGCGGUAAAAAUUCGGGGCUCAACCCCGUCCGGCCGUUGAAACUGGGGGCCUUGAGUGGGCGAGAAGAAGGCGGAAUGCGUGGUGUAGCGGUGAAAUGCAUAGAUAUCACGCAGAACCCCGAUUGCGAAGGCAGCCUUCCGGCGCCCUACUGACGCUGAGGCACGAAAGUGCGGGGAUCGAACAGGAUUAGAUACCCCAGUAGUC
rnacentral:rRNA from 1 species